rnacentral:lncRNA from 1 species
GGCCCAGUUCUCACUGAAAUGGGAGACCACCAAAUUUUUUUUUUUUUUUUUUUUUUUGCUUUUAAAUGUUAAACAUAUCACUUUAAGAAUUCCUCAGUAGAUGUCUGUGAUGUCAAAUUUGGUAGAAUUUGAAGAGAAAAAUGUUCAUAUUCAUAAAAACUAUUUAAUAGGUACUCAUUUUCAAUUUUGACCCCAACCUUAAAUAGUUCUGAAUAUAACUCAUGUUAUUAAUUGUCAUAAUCAAAACUGGCAUUGUUGUGCUUCAUGAACAAUUGAGAAAAGAUGAAAAGGCAAUAAACCUUAAUCAGCUCAGUGAUUAGAGAAAUGUAUCACAGUGUGAACACAUGGUGAUACAUACAUCCACUUUCCCCUUGUACUGAAAAACAUUGAGAGUCAGUCGUAUUUCCCGUGGACAUGAAAUGCAGAACAUCAAACAGCCGAGUGUCUGCAGAAUAGGUUUGAUACAUAAUGUGGUACAAGGGAGAUAUAGAAUACUUUCUGCAGUCUUGUAAGAGAUAUGCUGGCCAUGCCUCUUUUGAUGCCACCCAGGACGCAGUUGGUCUUCUGAGCUGCAAGUUCUCACUGCUGGCUCAUUUCAAGCUUUUCAUCCACCAGAACCCCCAAGUCCUUCUCCACAAGGCUGCUCUCAAUGAGUUCUUCUCCCAGUCUAUACUCAGGGGACAUAGGUGUUCACAUUGAUGGAGUAUUUCAAAAUGUGUCUGAGACUCCAACAGACCUGCAACAUUGGAUUUCCAAAUACAACAACACCUUCAGUUGAUUGAUUUGUGUAUGUCUCUGAUGUCUCUGUUUAUAAAAGAAGAAAAUAAUUCAGAAGACUAAGGCUCUAACCUAGCACUAUUGCUGGUUUGCUCAUGUGAUCUUUGAGAAGCCACUUCAGAUUCUAUGCCUUAACUUUCCCAUUUGAAGAGGGGAAAUGACGUUGCUUACAUCACAAGUGUUUAUCAGAGUGUUUUGUCCAUGUU